rnacentral:lncRNA from 1 species
UGAAACUUUAUUUUUCAUUAUAUAAGGAGGUUUGCGAGCUUAACCUUCUAAAAGCUCAUAAGCAUUAUUGGAAAAUAUCAAGAUCAAUUCUUGGGGGAGAGGAGUAGGUCGCAUCUUUUAUACCGAACCUCUAUAAAUCUCUAGUGUCAUCUCUUUUCCCUUGUCUUUUUAUUUUUCACGUAUUUUCGUUACAUUGAUUUUCUGCUGCAAUAUUUAAACGUUUAUUAGAAAAUAUUUUCAAACUUUAAUAUAGAAAAUAAUUCUUUUAAACCAACGUUUUUC